GUUAUAGGGUCAAGCGAACAAGUGCAUGUGGUGGAUGCCUUGGCGAUCACAGGCGAUGAAGGACGCGGUAGCCUGCGAAAAGCUUCGGGGAGCUGGCAAACAAGCUUUGAUCCGGAGAUGUCCGAAUGGGGAAACCCGGCCCUUAUGGGUCAUCCCUGACUGAAUACAUAGGUCAGGGAAGCGAACGCGGCGAACUGAAACAUCUAAGUAGCUGCAGGAACAGAAAUCAACCGAGAUUCCCAGAGUAGUGGCGAACGAAAUGGGAAGAGCCUUGUACUCUUUAGCAGCAUUGUUAGCAGAACGGGAUGGAAAGCCCGGCCAUAGCAGGUGAUAGCCCUGUAUGCGAAAACAGCGUUGUGGAACUAGGUGUACGACAAGUAGGGCGGGACACGUGAAAUCCUGUCUGAAGAUGGGGGGACCAUCCUCCAAGGCUAAAUACUCGUGAUCGACCGAUAGUGAACCAGUACCGUGAGGGAAAGGCGAAAAGAACCCCGGGAGGGGAGUGAAAUAGAUCCUGAAACCGCAUGCAUACAAACAGUCGGAGCCUGGAAACGGGUGACGGCGUACCUUUUGUAUAAUGGGUCAGCGACUUACAUUCAGUGGCAAGCUUAACCGAUUAGGGAAGGCGUAGCGAAAGCGAGUCCGAAUAGGGCGUUCAGUCGCUGGGUGUAGACCCGAAACCAGACGAUCUAUCCAUGGCCAGGUUGAAGGUGCGGUAACACGUACUGGAGGACCGAACCCACUAACGUUGAAAAGUUAGGGGAUGAGCUGUGGAUAGGGGUGAAAGGCUAAACAAGUCUGGAAAUAGCUGGUUCUCUCCGAAAACUAUUUAGGUAGUGCCUCGUGUCUCACCUUCGGGGGUAGAGCACUGUCAUGGUUGGGGGGUCUAUUGCUGAUUACCCCGCCAUAGCAAACUCCGAAUACCGAAGAGUGCAAUCACGGGAGACAGACAUCGGGUGCUAACGUCCGGUGUCAAGAGGGAAACAACCCAGACCGCCAGCUAAGGUCCCUAAGAUUGGCUAAGUGGGAAACGAAGUGGGAAGGCUAAAACAGUCAGGAGGUUGGCUUAGAAGCAGCCAUCCUUUAAAGAAAGCGUAAUAGCUCACUGAUCGAGUCGUCCUGCGCGGAAGAUGUAACGGGGCUAAGCCAGUCACCGAAGCUGCGGAUGC
rnacentral:rRNA from 1 species